GAAAUACGCAUAGGAGAAACCCUAACAUAGUUACCGGAGAAACCAUCGACCAAAGAAAUGGAGGGUGAACCGCCACAUGUGGCAACGACAUGGUACCAGGCUUUUCGGUCACCGCAGCGGCAAUCAACCAACUGCACAGCAACAAACAACCACAGUUUCAGGCGGUUAGGGUUUCGGUUCGGUUGGAUAGGGUACAAGGGUUUCCGGUAACCGUAGCGGUGAUCAACCAGCCACACAUCGGCGAUCAACCACAGUUUCAGGCGACUAGGGUUUUGGUUCGGUUGCCGUGUCAGGAGACAUCAACGGAACAGAUGGUGACGGCCAUGCGGUUAUUUCUCGGAUACCCCCAUUUCAUCUCAGCAAUUCGCAUAAUCUACUGUACGUUUAUGUAUGUUUCGUUCUUCAAUUGUUCCAGAAUUGUUAGAUGUGUUUUUGGGGUAUUGAUGGUGUGGUUUUGUGGAAGAGUAGAAAUUUGUUUUGGGGAUUUUGGGGAAAGUAUGAGUUGCAAGGGAGAAACGAUACUUGGCAAGAUUGCUUGUUUUAACUGUUGAACAAUAUUUAUUUGUUUAAUUGAGUUUUAUUAUUGUUGAAGUCAGGGCAAACUUUGAGUUUCUUGAAAAGAUUGGAAUAGAUAGGUGGUCUGGUGGUUCUUUAUGAUAUAGACAUUGCUCCGGCUGGUGAAACUAUUGUUGAUCUUGGAUCUGGAAAUAGAAUGAAGAUUAUUUAGGAUCAUCGGACACAUUAAUCUGAAUGCAAAACUGGUUUUGCUUGGAGACAUGGAAGUUGGUAAAUUUGGUCUGUUUUUUAAGAUCGACAAAGGCCAGUUUCUAGAAUUCCGGGUUAUUUUCUUCAUCGUCUCAAAUUCUUUUUUUUAUGUUGAUGGUAAAUGAUCCUAAGCGGCUGUUCCUUGCGAAGCACCAAUAGGUGUUUUUGAAGCUCUUGAACUAAGAGAUAGAGGCUCAGAUUACUUGGGAAAAGAUGCCUUCAAGGUAAGCUAAUAGUCUUGGUUAAUGAGUUUUAUCUAUAUUAUCUAUAGAGUCUACACCCUAUGAUUAUGAUAUAACUU